rnacentral:rRNA from 1 species
GAUGAACGCUGGCGGCGUGCUUAACACAUGCAAGUUGAACGAAGUGGCGGAUGGGCGAGUAACACGUGAGGAACCUGCCUUUCACAGGGGAAUAACACUGGGAAACCAGUGCUAAUACCGCAUAGUGAAAGAUGGCCUCGCGCCUGAUUAGCUAGUAGGUGAGGUAACGGCUGACCUAGGUGAUGAGCAGUAGCAGGAGGUGAGGUUGAUCGGCCGGAGUGGGCAUGAGGCACGGCCCAGACUCCUACGGGAGGCAGCAGUGGGGAAUAUUGGGCAAUGGCGCAAGACUGACCCAGCAACGCCGCGUGAAGGAAGACGGUUUUCGGAUUGUAAACGUCUUUAGACAGGGACGCGGUACCGGUAGAAUAAGCCACGGCUAACUACGUGCCAGCCGCCGCGGUAAUAC